UGCCAGACUCCUACGGGAGGCAGCAGUGGGGAAUAUUGCACAAUGGGGGAAACCCUGAUGCAGCGACGCCGCGUGAGUGAAGAAGUAUUUCGGUAUGUAAAGCUCUAUCAGCAGGGAAGAAAAUGACGGUACCUGACUAAGAAGCCCCGGCUAACUACGUGCCAGCAGCCGCGGUAAUACGUAGGGGGCAAGCGUUAUCCGGAUUUACUGGGUGUAAAGGGAGCGUAGACGGCAUGGCAAGUCAGAUGUGAAAGCCCGGGGCUCAACCCCGGGACUGCAUUUGAAACUGUCAGGCUGGAGUGCAGGAGAGGUAAGUGGAAUUCCUAGUGUAGCGGUGAAAUGCGUAGAUAUUAGGAGGAACACCAGUGGCGAAGGCGGCUUGCUGGACUGUAACUGACGUUGAGGCUCGAAAGCGUGGGGAGCAAACAGGAUUAGAUACCCGUGUAU
rnacentral:rRNA from 1 species